UGAGUAACGCAAACAUUAGUGAGAAUCUAAUGCCCCAAAAACCCAAGGGUUCCUCCGCAAGGUUCAUCUACGUAGAGUGAUUCAGGGCUUAAGAUCAGGCCGAAAGGCGUAGUUAAUGGAAAAUAGGUGAAUAUUCCUGUACUACCCCUUGUUGGUCUCGAGGGAUGUAGGAGGCUAGGUUAGCCAAAAAAUGGUUAUUGGUUCAAUGACACAAUGUUUCCCUACUUUUUCAGGGUAAGAAGGGGUAGAGAAAAUGCCACGAUCCAAUGUUCGAGUACCAGGCACUUCGGCGCUGAAGUAAUCCAUACUAUACUCCUAGGAAAAGCUUGAACGACCUUCAACAAAAGGGUACCUAUACCCGGAAUCGACACAAACGGUUAGGUAGAGAUACCUAGGGCCAGAAGACAACUCUCUCUAAGAAACUCGACAAAAUAGCCCUGUAACUUCGGGAGAAGGGAUGCCUCCUCAUAAAGGGGGUCACAGUGAUUAGGCCCGGGUGAUUGUUUACCAAAAACACAGGUCUCUACAAAGUCAUAAGACCAUGUAUGGCGGCUGAUGCUUGGCCAAUGCCGGAAGGUUAAGGAAGUUGGUGACCUGAUGACAGGGGAGCUGGCGACCGAAACCCUGGAGAACGACGGUCGUAACUAUAAUGGUCCUAAGGUGACUCUUGCAAAUAUCUCCAAAUUUUCCUUAAUAUCUCGAACAAUCGGGCUAAGGAUAGACUUGUCUGGU
rfam:Gossypium raimondii chromosome 11, whole genome shotgun sequence.